rnacentral:rRNA from 1 species
CGUACACUCCUACGGGAGGCAGCAGUAGGGAAUCUUCGGCAAUGGGGGCAACCCUGACCGAGCAACGCCGCGUGAGUGAAGAAGGUUUUCGGAUCGUAAAGCUCUGUUGUAAGUCAAGAACGAGUGUGAGAGUGGAAAGUUCACACUGUGACGGUAGCUUACCAGAAAGGGACGGCUAACUACGUGCCAGCAGCCGCGGUAAUACGUAGGUCCCGAGCGUUGUCCGGAUUUAUUGGGCGUAAAGCGAGCGCAGGCGGUUUGAUAAGUCUGAAGUUAAAGGCUGUGGCUCAACCAUAGUUCGCUUUGGAAACUGUCAAACUUGAGUGCAGAAGGGGAGAGUGGAAUUCCAUGUGUAGCGGUGAAAUGCGUAGAUAUAUGGAGGAACACCGGUGGCGAAAGCGGCUCUCUGGUCUGUAACUGACGCUGAGGCUCGAAAGCGUGGGGAGCGAACAGGAUUAGAUACCCGGGUAGUCCCA